rnacentral:sRNA from 1 species
GGGAUUGCCUCAGUAACGGCGAGUGAAGCGGCAACAGCUCAAAUUUGAAAGCUGGCUCCUUCGGGGUCCGCAUUGUAAUUUGGAGAGGAUGCUUCGGGUGCGGCCCCCGUCUAAGUGCUCUGGAACGGGCCGUCGGAGAGGGUGAGAAUCCCGUCUGGGGCGGGGAGCCCCGUGCCCGUGUGAAGCUCCUUCGAAGAGUCGAGUUGUUUGGGAAUGCAGCUCUAAAUGGGUGGUAAAUUUCAUCUAAAGCUAAAUACAGGCCGGAGACCGAUAGCGCACAAGUAGAGUGAUCGAAAGAUGAAAAGCACUUUGAAAAGAGAGUUAAACAGCACGUGAAAUUGUUGAAAGGGAAGCGCUUGCGAUCAGACUCGCCCGCGGGCUUCAGCCGGCACUCGUGCCGGUGUACUUGCUCGCGGGUGGGCCAGCGUCGGUUUGGGCGGCCGGUCAAAGGCCCCCGGAAUGUAGCGCCCCACGGGGCGUCUUAUAGCCGGGGGUGCCAUGCGGCCAGCCCGGACCGAGGAACGCGCUUCGGCACGGACGCUGGCGUAAUGGUCGCAAGCGACCCGUCUUGAAACACGGACCAAGGAGUCUAACAUCUACGCGAGUGUUUGGGUGGCAAACCCAUGCGCGCAGUGAAAGCGAACGGAGGUGGGAACCCCCCCGCGGGGUGCACCAUCGACCGAUCCUGAUGUCCUCGGAUGGAUUUGAGUACGAGCGUAGCUGUGGGGACCCGAAAGAUGGUGAACUAUGCCUGAAUAGGGCGAAGCCAGGGGAAACUCUGGUGGAGGCUCGCAGCGGUUCUGACGUGCAAAUCGAUCGUCAAAUUUGGGUAUAGGGGCGAAAGACUAAUCG